rnacentral:rRNA from 1 species
GUAGGUGGCAAGCGUUGUCCGGAAUUAUUGGGCGUAAAGCGCGCGCAGGCGGUCCUUUAAGUCUGAUGUGAAAGCCCACGGCUCAACCGUGGAGGGUCAUUGGAAACUGGGGGACUUGAGUACAGAAGAGGAAAGCGGAAUUCCAAGUGUAGCGGUGAAAUGCGUAGAGAUUUGGAGGAACACCAGUGGCGAAGGCGGCUUUCUGGUCUGUAACUGACGCUGAGGCGCGAAAGCGUGGGGAGCAAACAGGAUUAGAUACCCUGGUAGUCCACGCCGUAAACGAUGAGUGCUAAGUGUUAGGGGGUUUCCCGCCCCUUAGUGCUGCAGCUAACGCAUUAAGCACUCCGCUGGGGAGUACGGCCGCAAGGCUG